AGGUACUCCGGGGAUAACAGGCUGAUACCGCCCAAGAGUUCAUAUCGACGGCGGUGUUUGGCACCUCGAUGUCGGCUCAUCACAUCCUGGGGCUGAAGUAGGUCCCAAGGGUAUGGCUGUUCGCCAUUUAAAGUGGUACGCGAGCUGGGUUUAGAACGUCGUGAGACAGUUCGGUCCCUAUCUGCCGUGGGCGCUGGAGAAUUGAGGGGGGCUGCUCCUAGUACGAGAGGACCGGAGUGGACGCAUCACUGGUGUUCGGGUUGUCAUGCCAAUGGCACUGCCCGGUAGCUAAAUGCGGAAGAGAUAAGUGCUGAAAGCAUCUAAGCACGAAACUUGCCCCGAGAUGAGUUCUCCCUGAGACUUUAAGUCUCCUGAAGGAACGUUGAAGACGACGACGUUGAUAGGCCGGGUGUGUAAGCGCAGCGAUGCGUUGAGCUAACCGGUACUAAUGAACCGUGAGGCUUAACCUUACAACGCCGAAG
rnacentral:rRNA from 1 species